rnacentral:rRNA from 1 species
AACGAACGCUGGCGGCAGGCCUAACACAUGCAAGUCGAGCGAACCCUUCGGGGUUAGCGGCGGACGGGUUAGUAACGCGUGGGAAUAUACCCUUUGGUACGGAAUAGCCUCGGGAAACUGAGAGUAAUACCGUAUGUGCCCUUCGGGGGAAAGAUUUAUCGCCAAAGGAUUAGCCCGCGUUGGAUUAGAUAGUUGGUGGGGUAAUGGCCUACCAAGUCUACGAUCCAUAGCUGGUUUGAGAGGAUGAUCAGCAACACUGGGACUGAGACACGGCCCAGACUCCUACGGGAGGCAGCAGUGGGGAAUCUUAGACAAUGGGCGCAAGCCUGAUCUAGCCAUGCCGCGUGGACGAUGAAGGCCUUAGGGGUUGUAAAGUCCUUUUCAGAUGGGAAGAUAAUGACGGUACCAUCAGAAGAAGCCCCGGCUAACUCCGUG